GAUGAACGCUAGCUACAGGCUUAACACAUGCAAGUCGAGGGGCAGCAUGGUCUUAGCUUGCUAAGGCCGAUGGCGACCGGCGCACGGGUGAGUAACACGUAUCCAACCUGCCGUCUACUCUUGGACAGCCUUCUGAAAGGAAGAUUAAUACAAGAUGGCAUCAUGAGUCCGCAUGUUCACAUGAUUAAAGGUAUUCCGGUAGACGAUGGGGAUGCGUUCCAUUAGAUAGUAGGCGGGGUAACGGCCCACCUAGUCUUCGAUGGAUAGGGGUUCUGAGAGGAAGGUCCCCCACAUUGGAACUGAGACACGGUCCAAACUCCUACGGGAGGCAGCAGUGAGGAAUAUUGGACAAUGGAUGGGAAAUCUGAUCCAGCCAUGCCGCGUGCAGGGAGACGGUCCUAUGGAUUGUAAACUGCUUUAGCAUGGGAGCAAUAAGGUGUAACGCGUACACCGAUGAGAGUACCAUGAGAAAUAAGCACC
rnacentral:rRNA from 1 species